UCACGUCACUAACUUGACGAUUUAUCAUCUCUACCACAAAGCAAAACAAAACAAAGCUAUAUUUACAUCAAAACUUUGACAAUUGGACGAAAUUUGGGCUUCGAUGUCCUUGCCACGACGCACCCACCCAACCUUGGGUGCCCCAAAAAGGAUGUAGGAGGCACGCCCCAUCUCCGGCAGACCGGAGUCUAUUCCUGGUGGAUUAGGAUCGGCUCAUCUCCCCGCCCAAGAAACACUCAAGGCCGAUCUCAAACCGUCGCCCAGAUGAAAAGCGGUCAAAGCGGCAACAACCGAAGGGAAAUUUUUAGACGCUUAAUACUACAAGUGUCAGGCAAAAAAAUCGCCGCACGGCACUAAAUUGGAGGCGUUUGCCAACCGGGUCGCCUAAUCCUGAGGAGCUCCAAGGGAAAAGAAAGGACGUGCUGAAAUUGUAAUAGGUAGUUGGACGCGCGGCCAGGGUCGGAAUUAAGUCUCUAAUUUUAGAUUAGAUUUCACAAGUUCCUCGUCGGAUGUGGUUGAAACUGCAGCCAGAAUGGAAAAAUCGCUAGCGGCGAAAACCAGCGCGAGUCCGCACGGAGCCAAUUGGUCCGGAGGAUAGCGCAGCGUCCGCGUAAGAGGGGCCGGAGGCAGUGCGUCGGUGUACUUGGAGAUGACCACGUGGCCAGCGCGGGCAUUCGUUCCCGGAACGGACUCACUGAGGGAAUCUCCGUAUCUGGCCGUCUCGGAGGCAGUCGCUGUAGCUGCUGGCGCUGGAGGCUGCUGCUGCUGCGGCUGAUGCUGCUGCGGCUGAUGCUGCUGCGGCCAAUGCUGCUGCGGCUGAUGCUGCUGCGGCUGAUGCUGCUGCGCCUGAUGCUGCGGCGGCUAAUGCUGCGGCGGCUAAUGCUGCGGCGGCUAAUGCUGCGGCGGCUGGUGGACGACGACCAGGUUAGCUCCGCCUGCAACUAAAGCAAAACCCUGACCUACACCAAAGUCGUUCGCCAUUUUCCCUCCCGCUCUCUCAAGAUGGGUCAGCGAACGUAUUCAAGGCUAUUUAACCCAGUUAACGAGCGAACCGGGCUAAAUUUAAAUAGCUAAAUCCUCUCCCGCUAUCAAUAACGGCUUCAACUGAAAAUGCAACA